rnacentral:misc_RNA from 1 species
UCUCGGCCUACGUGCACC